GUGAGGACGGCGCGGGAGGGCGUUUCCGGAGCACGCGCCGGGCGGGGGCCGCUGACGUCGGGCUCAGGGCCGCGGCCAGAGGGCUAGAAUCCGCGCCUUCCGAGGGAGCCGCGCCCUGCGGGCCCCACCGUACCCGAGGGGAUGGAGGGCUGCCCCCGAGGCCCCCGCGCGGCUCGCGGUCCCACGCCUGCCGGCCCGCGCUAGCUACUCGACUCGUGCGCUAAAUUUAUCCGUCACCCAGGCCUUGUCUCCCGAGUCAUUGGCGUCGUGGUUCAAAAGAAAUGGAAGAAAAGGAGCGAUGUGACCGAUUGUGUUCGGUCCUCCUGCUUUGAGGCCUGGCAUUUGCAGAGGGAAACAGCAAGAAAAUCGUGGGGAUUUUGGAGGGGGGUGGGAGGGAAGGGUGGGGAAACGGAAACAAGGUCUUACAUUUUAUGUGUUUUUUUAAAUUCUGCACUUUGACAGUGGUAGCAAAAUAAAAGUAAUCCAAAAGUUAUUUUUCUAUUGAGAAGAGAGAAGAGGUGGGUU
rnacentral:lncRNA from 1 species